AACUCCAUUUUAUCUAAUAGCGUUAGAUAGACCUCAUUAAGGUCUAUCUAACGCUAUUAGAUAAAAUGGAGUU
rfam:Ananas comosus cultivar MD2 ACMD2_Scaffold_2081, whole genome shotgun sequence.